UAUGAUGUCAAAAUGAUAUAACUGUCUUAAAAUAGUAAACAGUCUGCAAACUCUGGCGUAAUUUUUUGAGUUAUAAAACAAUUGCAAAGAAACGAAAUCUUCUCACGUCUGGGUUGACAAACUAAUGAAAACGUCCACACGAACAAUAUCGUCCGAGAUCUUAGGCAACAGACGACGUAAUAGAACUUUCAAAUGGCCUAUGGAAAAGACGAAGACAAAUAUUGUCAUGCUUAGUACAGUAUGAUAAAAAUGAUAGUUACGCAAGUCUUCUUGAUUGAGAAGAUUACAUAUAUACGUACAAUAUAGAUAUGGAAGAGGGGUAUCGUUGUACGACAAGGGAUGUAAUGGUACCAUUUGCUGUAUGAUUAAGAGUGCUUUCUGACAAGUAUGUAAACAAAGAAUUGACUCGAUUUAAUGUUGGCUAUAUUAAUUGGUAUUUUUAGUCUCAUGAUUGUAAGACAUUUUUCUUCACAAGAGCUCCAAACAUUAUCUUAUGUUGUUGUCACGUGAGAUUUAUAAAGAAUAAGUUUGCUGUAUGCCAGUUACAAUGAAAUGAAUACAAGUGACGUUCUAGUCAAUAAUUAUACCUUUCGAGCGCUUGUAGUGAGUACUUGUUGUUCUUAUUAAGUAAAGAACCAGUAACCAUGACAACAGCAGUGCCAGCUCUCACUUCUUGUGGACAUAAAGAGCCCGCUAGCUAAGAGAAAAAACUCAUAACUAACACAUCUAAAACUUGACUAUUGUAGACAGCUCUGUAAUAUACAUAGGCUAUACGGUUAACAAGGUUACAUGGUCACAAAGCUAUGAUGGUGUAAAAAUGAUUUUUCUUUAAAGUUAAAUAUGAAAAUAUGUAAAGUGUUUUCUGAGCUAAUAGAUAAAGUAUGCAAAAAUUA